GCACUGCUGAAGAGUCCCACAACUGGACGAAACGCCCGUCCUGUUC
rfam:Schistosoma rodhaini strain Burundi genome assembly, scaffold: SROB_scaffold0003896